rnacentral:rRNA from 1 species
UACGUAGGGUGCAAGCGUUAAUCGGAAUUACUGGGCGUAAAGCGCGCGCAGGCGGUUUUGUAAGACAGAGGUGAAAUCCCCGGGCUCAACCUGGGAACUGCCUUUGUGACUGCAAGGCUUGAGUGCGGCAGAGGGGGAUGGAAUUCCGCGUGUAGCAGUGAAAUGCGUAGAUAUGUGGAGGAACACCGAUGGCGAAGGCAACCCCCUGGGUUAACACUGACGCUCAUGCACGAAAGCGUGGGGAGCAAACAGG